rnacentral:lncRNA from 1 species
GUAGAUGUGUAGGUGUUGGUUUUUAGUGAAUGGGUUGUCCCCUCCCCUCGGUGUCCCGGCUCCGGUUCUAUUAGCCUACUACUGCCUCUCUAUAAAAACCCUAUCAUAGAUCCGGCUCAGACGAACAACUUUUACAGAAGAAAGAGAAUAAGAAGAGGAGAAGAGAUGUUCUUGGAAAGAGAGAGUGUGACAUAUAUAUAUACACACUGUCCUGCAACAGGAGAAAAAGAAUACGAAAAAGAAGUCCGUACUGACAUCUGUUGAAGUUCCUAUUUCAGCAUCUUUCCUGUAACUAAGCUGUGGUUGUGUUGCGGACACUUUAAGAUGGGAGGUUGUGUGAGGUGCAGUGUUAUAUUUCCAGUCUGUUCUCUUCCUCGUCCUCUUUCUGGCUACCAUGGUUACGACCACUGACCCAUGACAGCCAGAGCAUCAGCACCUUGGCUUUAGACUGCUUACUGCUUGAAACAGUCUCACAGUUACAGUAACAGUCUACAGUCAUGGCUACUGACGCCUGGCAACUCACCGUGGUAACACACUACCUGUCCCGGAGACACCACCCUGGAAGUGCUGCCAUGGAAACUGUAGUCUGGGGUAUAGGGUAACUAACACCAUGACAAUGGUAUGGCAUUGGCAACUAAGACUAUGGGAAGACCCUAACGAUGUCUGUGCCGGUAAUGUCUCAGUAAUGUCCGAGUAUGGUAUGCUACGAUAGCAACUUUCCAGAGGACAUGGAAACUCCACAAUAAUCUCUCCUUCUCUCUCUUUGUCUUUCUCCCGCACCACCUCACUAUCUCUCAGUCUUGUGUGUGUGCCUGUGUGUGAGUGAGCCUGCCUGCGUGGGCCUGCAUUGGGGGAGCCCUAUGCUGAUGUGCGCACAUCAUUUCCACCCACCAGCCAAUCGGACUUCACCAUCUCCAGUUACCAUGCCAACUCCCGCUCCUCCAUCUCCCUGCUGUCUCCAUGGCGACCGUGGCUUUAGAUUGUUACUCUAGAGACAGCACCAUGGUAACAGUCUACAGCCAUGGUCGUUAGGGGGCAUGCGUCACGGCGACAGUGGAAGGCAACGGAAAGAGAUGAAAAAGAAUAAGAAGAGAUCAGAGCAUGUGUGUGUGUGUGUGUGUGUGUGUGUGUGUGUGUGUGUGUGUGUGUGUGUGUGUGUGUGUGUGUGUGUGUGUGUGUGUGACGACAGCAGAGCGGGCAUGUGAGAGAUGGUUUUCCCAACAGGCAGGCAACCCAGAGCUCAGGCCAGCUAUCUGACACACACAGCUUUCUGAGCCAGACGCUGCCUGCUGCAGUCUCCUACUAUCUCUUAGUAGGUCAAAGGGACACAGAUGCCGUUCACUGCUGGAAGUUCUUAUAUACACUUCUUUACAGAGUUGUCUAUAUAUGUCAUUGGCAAAAAUGAUACAUACACAACACUUUAAAACAAAAAAGGAUUAACUUUCAUUUUAGACAUAGCUCUCUUUCUCUUUCUGUAAAGAUCUCAAUUGCGUACUCCUUCGCGUCCUCUCUGCUCGUUUACUUCUCAAAACCCAUUGGAUGAGAGAGCCUGAGAUCCCUGACCUCUGACCUUUUCCUCCAAUGAGUAGAGAGGAAGACGAGAAGAGUAUGCAAUUUAGAUCUUUCCUCUCUCUCUCAAUGCAACACGAUGGCUAUAUUUCUGCAUAAAGGCAUAUUUUACAUAGUUUGAUAUUUGUAAAACAAGUAUAUGUGAAAACAGUCUGAUUUUGAUAAACUAGCCAAUUAAUAUUAGCAUUUUUUUAGGAUCAAUUUCCAUUUCAGUCAAAUUUUCCCAUUUAGCAUCUUUUAAAUAUUAUUCCAAAAUCAUCUAAAAUUGUCUUUCAACCAAGUCAGUGAGCAACACAAUCCAUUUAGGCAAUGAUUUGGCCAUGAAAUGUCUUGCUGUUUGCUUAGCUCAACAGGUCAGUGCGUGUCAUUGAUGCCACAUCUGGAUAGAGUAAGUUAUGUCUUAGGUAGAAAGGAUCUCAUGUGAUAUAGAGACAGAACCUCAACACACACUUUAAUCUGUAAACAUUUAAAGCACUGUAAACAAUGUGAUUGAUAAAAAAAAACAAUAAAGUGAUAUUUGGAUAAAUGUAAUUUGUCUGUUGGUUUUUGGGGGUGGCAUGUGUUGCAAAUAUUUGGGUCACAUUUUUUUAUUUUUUAUUUCACCUUUAUUUGAACAGGGACAACUUUGAGACCAAGGUCUCUUUUACAAAUAUGACCUGUAUAAUACAACAUAAAUAUAUACAUUAUACCCAAACAUAUACACAAUAAAAUACAUAAACACAGUCAUGGGAAGCACAAAUAAAACACUACAAAUUAUCCAGAAAAACAGUUACAUUCCUCUACAAAUAAGUCUCCAAUCCAUACUUUAAAUUGCCGAACGGCACCAGAACAGAGAUGAAAUGUAUUUAAAAUUUUGUUCCAGCAAUACAGUACAUUAAAACUAAAAGCGAAUUUACCUAGCUCGGUGGAGACCCUAGGAACCUCAAGUGUUAACCAAUCCUGUGAACGGGUUAGGCAACUCAGGUGUCUAUACAAAAAGGGAGUAAUGUAGAGAUCUACGGGUCUUCAGCGAAGUCCAGACAACUUUUUACGCCUUUUUCUCCCCAAUUUCGUGAUAUCCAAUUGGUAGUUACAGUCUUGUCCCACCGCUGCAACUCCCGUACGGACUCGGGAGAGGCGAAGGUCAAGAGCCAUGCGUCCUCCGAAACAUGACUCUGCCAAGCCGCACUGCUUCUUGACACAAUGCCCGCUUAACCUGGAAGCCAGCCACACCAAUGUGUCGGAGAAAACACCGUACAACUGCGACCGUGUCAGAGUGCAUUUGGCCGGCACUCACAGGAGUCGCUAGAGAGCGAUGGGACAAGGACAUCCCAGCCGGCCAAUCCCUCCCCUAACCCGGACGAUGCUGGCCCAAUUGUGCGUUGCCUCAUGGGUCUCCCGGUCGUGGCCAGCUGCGACACAGCCUGGGAUUGAACCCAGAUCUGUAGUGACGCCUCAAGCACUGCAGUGCCUUAGACCGCUGCGCCAUUCGGGAGGCGAUCCAGCCAACCUUUUGAUACAGGAUGCAGUGAUGAGUAUCAAAACUGUCACCUUUAACAAAACAAAGAGCACUAUGGUAGAUGGCAUCCAAAGGAUCAAGAGUAGUAGCAGCUGCACUUUGAUAAUAUCACCAUAACCAAGAACAGAUAAAAAGGUUGAUUGAAUAAUCUGCUUCCUACUGCUAAGAGAAAGGCACGAUCUGUUUCUGUAGAAAGAGACAACUUUAAACCUUAGCUUCUUAACCAGCUCAUCAAUAUGUUUUUUUAAACAUCAAAUCCAUAUAAAUCCAAAUGCCUAAGUAUUUAUAUCCGGGAACACGUUCGAUUGGAGAACCAUCUAAUGAGUGAAUAUGUAGUUCAUCUGAAACAUUCUUACGAGAGUUUGAAAACAACAUGUACUUCGUUUUGCACGCAUUAAGCACACGUUUUGAAUCAACAAGUGAUUCCAGCGUAGGUAUAAAGUCUGACUUUAGUCUUGACACAACCAGAUCAACAGACAGGGCAAUAACAUACAUAAUACUAUCAUCCACAUAUAGAUGAAGUUUACCAUUUUUAAUUAACAGAUUGACCAAUGGUGUUUAUAUAAAUAGUGAAGAGAAUAGGUCCCAAAGUCGACCCCUGUGGUACACCUUUAUGUACAUUAAGGGUCAGAGAUACCAUAUAGUUACAUAGAUGGAGAAAUUGAUGGAUAGAUAGAGAAAUGGAGAGAGGAAAAGGCGUGUGUGUCCUCUCAU